GCCAGGCAUGGUGGUGCAUACCUGUAGUCCCAGCUUUUGGGAGGCUGAGGUGGGAGGAUUUCUUGAGCCCAGGAGGUCAAGGCUGCAGUGAGCAUGAUCGCACGCCACUGCACCCCAGCCUGGGUUGUAGAGGGAGAACCUAUCUCAA
rnacentral:SRP_RNA from 1 species